rnacentral:rRNA from 1 species
CGAAAUUCCUUGUCGGGUAAGUUCCGACCCGCACGAAAGGCGUAAUGAUUUGAGCACUGUCUCGACAAUACAUCCGGUGAAAUUGAAGUACCAGUGAAGAUGCUGGUUACCCGCGCCAGGACGGAAAGACCCCAUGGAGCUUUACUCCAGUUUGGUACUGGGAUUCGGUACUGCACGUACAGGAUAGGUGGGAGACUUUGAAACUUGAACGCCAGUUUGAGUGGAGUCGCUGUUGGGAUACCACCCCUGCAGUAUUGGAUUUCUAACCAGUCACCGUGAUCCGGUGAUGGGACAAUGCCAGGCGGGGAGUUUGACUGGGGCGGUCGCCUCCGAAAGGGUAUCGGAGGCGCUCAAAGGUUCCCUCAGAAUGGUCGGAAACCAUUCGAAGAGUGCAAAGGCAGAAGGGAGCUUGACUGCGACACCGACGGGUGGAGCAGGUAGGAAACUAGGACUUAGUGAUCCGGUGGCAUAAAGUGGGAUUGCCAUCGCUCAACGGAUAAAAGCUACCCUGGGGAUAACAGGCUUAUCACUCCCAAGAGUUCACAUCGACGGAGUGGUUUGGCACCUCGAUGUCGGCUCAUCGCAUCCUGGGGCUGUAGCAGGUCCCAAGGGUUGGGCUGUUCGCCCAUUAAAGCGGUACGCGAGCUGGGUUCAGAACGUCGUGAGACAGUUCGGUCCCUAUCCGGCGCGGGCGGAGGAUAUUUGAGAGGAGCUGUCCUUAGUACGAGAGGACCGGGAUGGACGGACCACUGGUGUAUCUGCUGUCGGCCAACGGCAUGGCAGAGUAGCCAAGUCCGGAAGGGAUAAACGCUGAAGGCAUCUAAGCGUGAAGCCCCCCUCAAGAUGAGAUAUCCCUCACAUAAGUGGGUAAGAUCCCUUGAAGACUACAAGGUAGAUAGGGCAGAGGUGGAAGUGUGGCAACACAUGGAGCUGACUGUUACUAAUCGAUCGAGGGCUUGACCAA